GGAAGAUGCUUUAUGCACGGCAGGGAAAGAAAUUCGAUUAUGAUCUAAAACAGCUAAGGUUCGCGGGUGAUCUUCUGAUGGAGUUAGGAGCUGGUGUUGAACUGGUAACUGCUGUCGUGCCACAGUUUUUUCUUCCUUUAGCCUGUGCUGCGAAUGUCGCAAAGAAUGUAGGUGCUGUCACUUCUACUUCAACUCGUACUCCUAUAUAUAAGGCCUUCGCUAAAGGGGAAAAUAUUGGGGAUGUAACAGCUAAGGGGGAAUGUGUUGGAAAUCUUGCUGAUUUACUUGGGACAGGAUUAAGUAUCUUGAUUUCCAAAAGGAAUCCAUCCUUGGUCAAGACAUUUGCAUUCCUCUCAUUUGGAUAUGUCUUCAGCUCUUACCGAGAGGUGAAAUCUGUUGUGCUGCAUACCCUGAACCGUGCAAGAUUUACAGUAGCAGUAGAAUCUUUCCUAAGGACAGGGAGAGUUCCAACACUGCAGGACGGAAAUUCAAGGGAAGACAUAUUUAAUUUUCCAUGGAGACAGCACAGGCCUAUUGUUCUUGGACCCAGAUUUAAAGAAGCUUUCCAAGAUCCAAACUCAUAUCUUUCUGUCAAGCCCAUAUUUGAGAAGGAGCAUUAUAUAGUGACAUACAAUCCUUCCAAAGAAAACAUAUAUGUGCUGCUCAAAGACCAAGCCAAGUCUGAUGAUGUACUGAAAGCAGCAUUUCAUGGCCAUGUGCUUCUGCACAUCAUUCGUUCAUGCACCAACAAACAGUCUUCCUCCAGGAAGCAACAUGAAGAUGAACAUUCAGCAUCCUUGCUAUCAACUGCUGAUCUUCAAGCUUAUGUUGCAGAAUCUUAUAAAAUGGUCUCUGCUUUAUAUAUACCUUUCAAGAGCAAAGCUAAAGAACAGGGUUGGGUGAUGUCGGAAUCACUACUUAAUCCUGGCCGAGCUCGGCUUUGUGAAAUGACCACACAUGAUACAUAGCUGUUGGAGUUGGUUGCAGAGGAACUACAAAUAAAUUUGUUUACUGAAACAAUUAUUUUGCAUGGCGCCCGCCAGUGAUGGGCAUUGCAAGAGGUUUGUGCAUCUAUAGUGAAAUGAGGUCAGAGAUCUGAAGUAACUACCGGAUAUUUAUCCUCAUUGCAACUCACUACAUGUUCUUUCGACUUUUUAGUACGAUGGUUUACCUGUGCAUCAGCAUGUAGCUAUUAGCGUAAGCAAGAAAGGUGCAUUCCGCGAAAGAGAUUUCAGUAUACUUGUUUAUUCUGCCAUAGUCUUUUCUUCUUUCUUGCAUAUAUAUUUUCAGGGGGAGGCGGGUUCCCCUGCCGUUGAGAUACGCUUCUACCCCCAGUUUCCUGUUUUUCAUACUUUUUUUAGCUAAAUGUAAUGCAAUAUCUUC
rnacentral:misc_RNA from 1 species